rnacentral:rRNA from 1 species
UGGCGCCUACGGGGGGCAGCAGUAGGGAAUCUUCCACAAUGGACGAAAGUCUGAUGGAGCAACGCCGCGUGAGUGAAGAAGGGUUUCGGCUCGUAAAGCUCUGUUGGGAGUGAAGAAAGAUAGAGGUAGUAACUGGCCUUUAUUUGACGGUAAUUACUUAGAAAGUCACGGCUAACUACGUGCCAGCAGCCGCGGGAAUACGGAGGGGGCAAGCGUUAUCCGGAUUUACUGGGGGUAAAGGGAGCGUAGACGGAGGAGCAAGUCU